rnacentral:rRNA from 1 species
UACAGAGGUGCCAAGCGUUAGGCGGAAUCACUGGGCUUAAAGCGCGUGUAGGUGGGUCGUUAAGUGUCCGCGUGAAAUCCCACGGCUCAACCGUGGAACUGCCGGGCAUACUGGCGAUCUUGAGGCAUUCAGGGGCGAGCGGAACAAGUGGUGGAGCGGUGAAAUGCGUAGAUAUCGGAAGGAACGCCGGUGGCGAAAGCGAGCUGCUGGAUCCCUCCUGACGCUGAGGCGCGAAAGCCAGGGGAGCGAACGGG